rnacentral:rRNA from 1 species
UACGGAGGGUGCAAGCGUUGUCCGGAUUUAUUGGGUUUAAAGGGUGCGUAGGCGGUCGUUUUAAGUCUGGGGUGAAAGCCCGUUGCUCAACAACGGAACUGCCCUGGAAACUGGACGACUUGAGUACAGACGAGGGUGGCGGAAUGGAUGGUGUAGCGGUGAAAUGCAUAGAUACCAUCCAGAACCCCGAUUGCGAAGCAGCUGCCUAGACUGUAACUGACGCUGAGGCACGAAAGCGUGGGGAGCGAACAGG